rnacentral:rRNA from 1 species
AGAGAGAGACAUGCGCGCAUAUCAAUAAGCGGAGGAAAAGAAACUAACUAGGAUUCCCCUCAGUAACGGCGAGUGAAGCGGGAAGAGCUCAAAUUUGAAAUCUUCAAGGUUUUACCUUGACGAAUUGUAGUUUAAAGAAGUGUUUUCGGUUAGAGGAGUUAGGUAAAAGUUCUUUGGAAAUAGGACAUCAUAGAGGGUGAGAAUCCCGUAUUUGACCAUUAUUUCCAGCUUUGUGAUACACUUUCAAAGAGUCGGAUUGUUUGGGAAUGCAGUCCAAAAUGGGUGGUAAAUUUCAUCUAAAGCUAAAUACUGGCGAGAGACCGAUAGCGAACAAGUACCGUGAGGGAAAGAUGAAAAGAACUUUGAAAAGAGAGUUAAACAGUAUGUGAAAUUGUCAAAAGGGAAGCGUUUGACACCAGUGUUGUUUUCUCGAAAAUCAAUUAAGAAAGAUUGUAUUUUGAGGUUGUAUUGACUUUAUCAGGCUUGCUGCACUCUUUUCUUGUAACUUUUUAAUGCACUUUUCGGUUUAACAAGUCAACAUCAAUUUCUUUUGUUGUAAAAGAGUCAUUGAGGAAGGUGGCUUUCUUUUCGGAGAAAGUGUUUAUAGCCUUUGUCCUCUGCAAUCGGAGAGAUUGAGGUCUGCAGCGUAGAUCCUUCGGGGUUAGAUACAUUUGUGCUAAGUUAUAGCCUUUCAUAGACAACUUGUUGACUAUGAUCAGUCAUGUAGCUUACUCGCUUAGUGCUAUUUUACCUACGCUUAGGAUGUUGACAGCAGUAUAGACUGU